GUUUGCCACACCUUAUGUAAUUCAAUUUCUCAAUUUCAGGGAGACUAAAAGGAAGGAGGUGCUAUUUCAGUGAAGGAGGAGGCUUAGUUGGUGAAGGAGGAGUACUUAGUAAAGGAUGAGGUCUUGUUAGCUAUGGAGGAUAUUUUCGUGUUGAAUGUAUUAGUGAGGGAGGGAUUUAUUGGUGAAGGAGGAGGUUUUAUUAUUGAAGGAGGUGAUAUAUGUGUUAAAUGAGGAGGUUUGGUUGGUGAAGGAGGUGCUAUCAUUAUUUAAGGAGGAGGUUUUGUUAUUUUAAGAGGUAUUAUACCUGUAUGUGGUGAAGGAGAGGAGGUAUUAUAUGAGAAGGAUGUGUUAUAAUUAUUGAGGGUGGUGGUUUUGUUAGUGAAGGAGGUGCUAUGUGUGUUGAAGGAGGUACUAUAGUUAGUUAAGGAGGAGGUUUUGGCAGUGAAGGUGGUGUUUUAUGUCUAGAAGGUGGGGGUUUAUUAUUGAAGGAGGAGGUUUUGUUGAUGAAGGGGGUGCUGUAUUAGUAAAGGAGGAGGUUUUGUUGAGGAAGGGGGUGCUGUAUUAGUGAAGGAGGAGGUUUUGUUGAGGAAGGGGGUGCUGUAUUAAUGAAGGAGGAGGGUUUGUUGAUGAAGGGGUGCUGUAUUAGUAAAGGAGGAGGUUUUGUUGAGGAAGGGGGUGCUGUAUUAGUGAAGGAGGAGGGUUUGUUG